AAUGAACGCUGGCGGCAUGCCUAACAUAUGCAAGUCGAACGAAGCCUUCGGGCUUAGUGGCGCACGGGUGCGUAACGCGUGGGAAUCUGCCCUUGGGUUCGGAAUAACUCUCCGACAAGAGUGCUAAUACCGGAUGAUGUCGAAAGACCAAAGAUUUAUCGCCCAGGGAUGAGCCCGCGUAGGAUUAGCUAGUUGGUGAGGUAAAAGCUCACCAAGGCGACGAUCCUUAGCUGGUCUGAGAGGAUGAUCAGCCACACUGGGACUGAGACACGGCCCAGACUCCUACGGGAGGCAGCAGUGGGGAAUAUUGGACAAUGGGCGAAAGCCUGAUCCAGCAAUGCCGCGUGAGUGAUGAAGGCCUUAGGGUUGUAAAGCUCUUUUACCCGGGAUGAUAAUGACAGUACCGGGAGAAUAAGCCCCGGCUAACUCCGUGCCAGCCGCCGCGGUAA
rnacentral:rRNA from 1 species